rnacentral:lncRNA from 1 species
CUUCCAUUAGCACUGUGUGUCAUUAGCAUAUCACAUGUUACAGUCUCCUUAAUCCAGUGUGAGGAGUCCCUCCAUCCAGUUCUCGGCAAACCUUUGUUUCUUGUUUUAGAAGGAACACUAUAAGCCAUAAAGGCAAUCCCAUAGUCAUAAUCUCUCUAGUAGGCUCUGUAGUUUUCAAAGUUUGAAAUUUACUUAACUUUUUUUUGCAUGCUUGUAUUUGAAAACAUGAAGGAGAUACCAGACUGUAAUCAUCAGUGUGUCUUGGGUACAGGAGAUACCUGACUUGCCCCAGUAUUCACACUGGGCUUGUAAAAGUACCUGUGAUUAAAAUACUUAUAAGCCUUUUUGAAGAAAUAAUGUUGUCUAACUAUAUAGUAGGGGACGCUAAGUGAGAUAAACACUGAGUCUCAUAGAGCGAUUGUAUCAAGAGGAGAUUUUCUGUGAAAUGAAUUUACUUGGGGGUCAAAAUGCUCACAUAUUUUAAAGAAAGCAAGUACUUGUUUGAAACAGUACAGCCCCUCUGUUGAGAUUCAUGUGGCUGGUUACAUGCAAACCAAAGGCACAACUAUGAGUUUGGGUGGAGAAAUCUCCAUUUCUUUUUUCCUUCACUGGUCUUUAAAAAUUAUGUUUUUCUAGUGGCUAGAAGGACAAGUCAGAAAUAGUUAAAUUCUGGCUUGGAAACUCAUGAGAAUUAAUGAUCUGUAGACCAAUUUUUUAUCCUAAAACGUCAUGCUUGAUCCCCAACUUCUUAUGGGACUGCUCUUCAGGGCGAUUUCUUGUUUUUCUUUCUUCAGUGUGUACAUGUGCCCUGAGGCUGUUUGUAAUGGGAGAAUUUCAUAAAAUUCAUAAAUUUAAAACACCCCACACAUCCAAAAUUCUUCCUGAAUGUGUCAUUUUCAAGUUAUUUUCACCAAAUCACAUAAAAUAAAGCAGCACUAUGGUCACCUCUUUUUAAUAUUAUCCCUUAUAUUUAAUUUUAUUGGUCUUUCCUCAUAUACUAGGUACCAUCAUGAAUAAAGCAAAUUACAUUGACCACCUGGGUUUAAAUGGCCAGCUUCCAUCUUUUGGUGUUAUUUCUUUGAAAUAAAAUGUAUCUCACAUUUAAUUUGGGAGUAAGAAAACAUAACAUAAAGAAAUAAUGCAAACUUCAAUGCCAUGGGGGGUGUGGCUUACAUGUGUGCCUUAAAACGUGUUUAUAUAUAAGAGGAAUUAACUUGCUUUGUGUAUAAAAGAGCUAUAGUUCUUCAAAGAGCGGGCAUCUGAUCCCAGAACUGAGUUCACUGAGAUUAAAUUGUGCUCUGGGAAUUGAAGGUGUCCUCAGACCCUGGAAAUCCAAAAUGCAAAUGAAGAAGAAAUCAGGAGGUGUAAACACUGAAGGGAAUGAAUGUUUUCUGAAAUCCAGGCAGAAGAGAGACUGCUUGGCAAAAUGGUUGCACAGAACAAACUUGGAAUUUUCAGACUGAAAAAACAAAAACCUGAAAACAACUUCCCCAAAGACAAGGGUGUCAAGUAUCUCAGGCUAACCUCAAAUUUGUUAUGUAUCUGGGGAUGACUGCUCUGCCUCUGCCUCUGCCUCCUGAGUGCUGGAAUUGCAGGGAUGUACCACUAUACCUAGAAGAUGCGGUCCUGGGAAUUGAACUCGGAGUUUUGAAUAUGAUAGGUACAACUGCUUCUAAGUCUCUGGAAGGUUCCAGUGUCCCAGGAGUUCCACAUGCACUCUAAGAUGAUUAUACCACUUUGCUACCAGCUUGCAGUAUUUUCAGUGCUGCAGAAAAGAGUUGCUGCACGAUGAGGAUUUCUGGCGAUGAGAAGCAGAGCUCAUCACUGGCAGGUUAGAUUCUGAAUCAUGGCCUACUAACUAAACCCCGGAGUGCCACACCUUGGAAACACAGAAGACAGAAGUCUCAGUGCGUCAUUUUUCUAGUUGCUUUCAAGGUAUCAUUAAGUGCUGCCUAAGAGUACCCUUCUAGUGCAAAAUGUGUUGUUCAGGAUUCUGUCCAGAUGCUGUUGGGCUGCUUCAAGGAGACUUCAAAUGGUCCUACUAGUGAGCCACCUUAUCGACCUUCACUCUGACAUUUGGCUUGGCUGCGUUUGAAGUGGUCCCAUGAGUGAGUCAUCUUACCGACCUUCACUUUGCCAUUUGGCUCGACUGCAUAUCAGAUGUUGUUGAAACCAAAACUAGUGGAUCCCUCUUCUUUCCAGGGAAGACUACAUUUUAGAAAUCUCCACAAUUACAACUUUAAACUGAAGCCAGAAAAUACAUUUUUUUGAAACUAAUCAGUCAGCAGAUCACCUGUCAUCCAACUGUGUGCCAUAUACAUAUAAUUUCAAGAAACAUUGGCCAUCAAGUACUUAAAAUUUUAGGGAUUUGGGCAACACCCAAUGCAGAACAGAUGAAUUUCAUGGUUUCUUUAUGCAUUUGCACAAAUUAAAAUAUAAGUCUUCACUUGGUUCGUUUGAACCCCUUUCUUCAAUUAGCUCUGUAUGCAGAGAAGGCCAGACAGCAGUUUUCAGAGAGCAAUCAAGAUUCUUCUGCAUGUUGUUACCUCUGUGUGUGAACGCCACUCUGACAGGGCAAAUUCUUGGAUUAAAAGUUGAUUGUACUCUAGCAGUUCUUCUUAUAACUGGUUUUGUAAACACAAAUGUUCAAAAUCACAAAAACUCUUUUCAAACAGUUAUUUUCUUUUCAGAUACAAGAACAGUAGGUAUAAGCUUC